rnacentral:lncRNA from 1 species
UGAAUUUUUCAUUUCUGCAAAGAUGGACUCCAGAACCUAGUGUGAAAUGGGAAUAUUGAGUAUGCUAUGUAAUCAAGGAAUGAAGGAGAAUGGAGCUAGAUCUGUAACAGGAGCUACAGAAAACAAGAUGGCAAACAAGGUCCCAGCAGAACCCAGAGUCGAAAACAAGAGAACCAGGCGAAUGUGAGCACCCACCAGACCCACCCACAGAGAAUCCUAGCGACUGAAGUCAUUUUAUGUUUGCCUUCAACUUGAGAUAAGUCCCAGAAAAUUGGAGGAUGUGGAGACCAGGAUGCCUCAUUGCACAACUCCAGGAGGCACAUUACAGUAGGUGUGCAAGAGGGCAUGACACUCAAGUUACAAACACAUCAUUUCAUUUAAUCUUCACAACACUCCUGGAAAAAAGGCAUUAUUAUCCUUGUCUUACAGAUAAAGAAACUGAGACUCCAAGAAUA